GAUAAAGUAGCCGAGUAAGCAUUGGAUUGUAAAUCUAAAGACAGAGGUUGAACCCUCUUUUCACCC
rfam:Papio anubis isolate 1X1155 chromosome 8, whole genome shotgun sequence.